GGGGUUAUAGCUCACUGGUAGAGCAUGUGCUUGGCAUGCACAUGGUCCUGGGUUCAAUCCCUAGCGCCUCUG
rnacentral:tRNA from 1 species